AGAGUUCAAGAGAACGUGAAACUACCACGAGGUUAAAGCGGAUGUACAUACGUAGCCGAACAGUGGGGGCUCAUCCCUAAGAGCUGCCAGGCGUCGCUGCGUUCGGACCGUCGGCGUCCUCGCCCCUCGGGGUGUGGGUCGCGCCGGAGGCCGUCGUAGCGUCGGACUCGGUGGACGAUGGGGUGUAUUCCCCUCCUUAGUAGGCGGUCGUGGCCGCUCGACGGUUGUCUAAGGCUCGGAAGUUGGGAACCGCCACACAUAGGGCGGGGACGCUACCUUGAUCCUGACGGACCGACGGGCGGUGACAAUAGACGGAUUAGGCCUGCAAAGACUGAAACGUACACGGCUGUAAUUGCGAUCGUUCAUCCGUCCCGUCUUGAAACACGGACCAAGGAGUCUAACAUGUGCGCGAGUCAAAGGGUUGGCUAAACCCCAAGGCGCUAACGAAAGUAAAAAAGGCCUCCGAAGCUCCCGUUCGCGGGUUGCCUAGGGGUCGUUGGGUCGAUCCGUGUUUUCCCUUCGGGGACCGGCGCAGACCCGGGGCUCGCCGCUACCUCCUUUCGUUUCCCUUCACGGGGAUUCGGGGCGGACGGCGGGCACCUUGAGCGUACAUGCUAGUACCCGAAAGAUGGUGAUCUAUGCCUGGCCAGGAUGAAGCCAGAGGAAACUCUGGUGGAGGUCCGUAGCGAUUCUGACGUGCAAAUCGAUCGUCAGAGCUGGGUAUAGGGGCGAAAGACCAAUCGAACCAUCUAGUAGCU
rnacentral:rRNA from 1 species